rnacentral:rRNA from 1 species
CAGGAUGAACGCUGGCGGCGUGCUUAACACAUGCAAGUCGAACGGUGAAGCCCAGCUUGCUGGGUGGAUCAGUGGCGAACGGGUGAGUAACACGUGAGCAACCUGCCCCUGACUCUGGGAUAAGCGCUGGAAACGGCGUCUAAUACUGGAUAUGUGACGUGACCGCAUGGUCUGCGUCUGGAAAGAAUUUCGGUUGGGGAUGGGCUCGCGGCCUAUCAGCUUGUUGGUGAGGUAAUGGCUCACCAAGGCGUCGACGGGUAGCCGGCCUGAGAGGGUGACCGGCCACACUGGGACUGAGACACGGCCCAGACUCCUACGGGAGGCAGCAGUGGGGAAUAUUGCACAAUGGGCGCAAGCCUGAUGCAGCAACGCCGCGUGAGGGAUGACGGCCUUCGGGUUGUAAACCUCUUUUAGCAGGGAAGAAGCGAAAGUGACGGUACCUGCAGAAAAAGCGCCGGCUAACUACGUGCCAGCAGCCGCGGUAAUACGUAGGGCGCAAGCGUUAUCCGGAAUUAUUGGGCGUAAAGAGCUCGUAGGCGGUUUGUCGCGUCUGCUGUGAAAUCCGGAGGCUCAACCUCCGGCCUGCAGUGGGUACGGGCAGACUAGAGUGCGGUAGGGGAGAUUGGAAUUCCUGGUGUAGCGGUGGAAUGCGCAGAUAUCAGGAGGAACACCGAUGGCGAAGGCAGAUCUCUGGGCCGUAACUGACGCUGAGGAGCGAAAGGGUGGGGAGCAAACAGGCUUAGAUACCCUGGUAGUCCACCCCGUAAACGUUGGGAA